AACGAACGCUGGCGGCAUGCCUAACACAUGCAAGUCGAACGAGACCUUCGGGUCUAGUGGCGCACGGGUGCGUAACGCGUGGGAACCUGCCCUUAGGUUCGGCAUAACUCCCCGAAAGAGGCGCUAAUACCGGAUAAUGUCUUCGGACCAAAGCUUUAUCGCCUUUGGAUGGGCUCGCGUUGGAUUAGCUGUUUGGUAGGGUAAAAGCCUACCAAGGCGAGGAUCCAUAGCUGGUCUGGGAGGAUGAUCAGCCACUCUGGGACAGAGACGCGGACCAGACUGCGACGGAGGGGAGGAGUGGGGAGUAUAGGAGGCGGGGCGGAAGCGUGAUGCAGCCAUGCCGGGGGAGUGAGGAAGUCGUUAGGGUAGUAAAUCUCGUUUGCCUGGGGUGAUAGUGACGGUACCGGGAGAAGAAGCUCCGGCUAACUCCGUG
rnacentral:rRNA from 1 species